GAUGAACGCUGGCGGCGUGCCUAAUACAUGCAAGUCGAGCGAACGGACGAGAAGCUUGCUUCUCUGAUGUUAGCGGCGGACGGGUGAGUAACACGUGGAUAACCUACCUAUAAGACUGGGAUAACUUCGGGAAACCGGAGCUAAUACCGGAUAAUAUUUUGAACCGCAUGGUUCAAAAGUGAAAGACGGUCUUGCUGUCACUUAUAGAUGGAUCCGCGCUGCAUUAGCUAGUUGGUAAGGUAACGGCUUACCAAGGCAACGAUGCAUAGCCGACCUGAGAGGGUGAUCGGCCACACUGGAACUGAGACACGGUCCAGACUCCUACGGGAGGCAGCAGUAGGGAAUCUUCCGCAAUGGGCGAAAGCCUGACGGAGCAACGCCGCGCGAGUGAUGAAGGUCUUCGGAUCGUAAAACUCUGUUAUUAGGGAAGAACAUAUGUGUAAGUAACUGUGCACAUCUUGACGGUACCUAAUCAGAAAGCCACGGCUAACUACGUG
rnacentral:rRNA from 1 species